rnacentral:rRNA from 1 species
GCUGACGAGUGGCGGACGGGUGAGUAAUGUCUGGGAAACUGCCUGAUGGAGGGGGAUAACUACUGGAAACGGUGGCUAAUACCGCAUAACGUCGCAAGACCAAAGAGGGGGACCUUCGGGCCUCUUGCCAUCAGAUGUGCCCAGAUGGGAUUAGCUGGUUGGUGAGGUAACGGCUCACCAAGGCGACGAUCCCUAGCUGGUCUGAGAGGAUGACCAGCCACACUGGAACUGAGACACGGUCCAGACUCCUACGGGAGGCAGCAGUGGGGAAUAUUGCACAAUGGGCGCAAGCCUGAUGCAGCCAUGCCGCGUGUAUGAAGAAGGCCUUCGGGUUGUAAAGUACUUUCAGCGGGGAGGAAGGUGUUGUGGUUAAUAACCGCAGCAAUUGACGUUACCCGCAGAAGAAGCACCGGCUAACUCCGUGCCAGCAGCCGCGGUAAUACGGAGGGUGCAAGCGUUAAUCGGAAUUACUGGGCGUAAAGCGCACGCAGGCGGUCUGUCAAGUCGGAUGUGAAAUCCCCGGGCUCAACCUGGGAACUGCAUUCGAAACUGGCAGGCUUGAGUCUUGUAGAGGGGGGUAGAAUUCCAGGUGUAGCGGUGAAAUGCGUAGAGAUCUGGAGGAAUACCGGUGGCGAAGGCGGCCCCCUGGACAAAGACUGACGCUCAGGUGCGAAAGCGUGGGGAGCAAACAGGAUUAGAUACCCUGGUAGUCCACGCCGUAAACGAUGUCUACUUGGAGGUUGUGCCCUUGAGGCGUGGCUUCCGGAGCUAACGCGUUAAGUAGACCGCCUGGGGAGUACGGCCGCAAGGUUAAAACUCAAAUGAAUUGACGGGGGCCCGCACAAGCGGUGGAGCAUGUGGUUUAAUUCGAUGCAACGCGAAGAACCUUACCUGGUCUUGACAUCCACGGAAGUUUUCAGAGAUGAGAAUGUGCCUUCGGGAACCGUGAGACAGGUGCUGCAUGGCUGUCGUCAGCUCGUGUUGUGAAAUGUUGGGUUAAGUCCCGCAACGAGCGCAACCCUUAUCCUUUGUUGCCAGCGGUCCGGCCGGGAACUCAAAGGAGACUGCCAGUGAUAAACUGGAGGAAGGUGGGGAUGACGUCAAGUCAUCAUGGCCCUUACGACCAGGGCUACACACGUGCUACAAUGGCGCAUACAAAGAGAAGCGACCUCGCGAGAGCAAGCGGACCUCAUAAAGUGCGUCGUAGUCCGGAUUGGAGUCUGCAACUCGACUCCAUGAAGUCGGAAUCGCUAGUAAUCGUGGAUCAGAAUGCCACGGUGAAUACGUUCCCGGGCCUUGUACACACCGCCCGUCACACCAUGGGAGUGGGUUGCAAAAGAAGUAGGUAGCUUAACCUUCGGGAGGGCGCUUACCACUUUGUGAUUCAUGACUGGGGUGAAGUCGUAACAAGGUAACCGUAGGGGAACCUGCGGUUGGAUCACCUCCUUACCUUAAAGAA